GACGAACGCUGGCGGCGUGCUUAACACAUGCAAGUCGAACGGAAAGGCCCUGCUUUUGUGGGGUGCUCGAGUGGCGAACGGGUGAGUAACACGUGAGUAACCUGCCCUUGACUUUGGGAGAACUUCAGGGAACUGGGGCGAAUACCGGGUAGGAGCUCCUGCUGCAUGGGGGGGGUUGGAAAGUUUCGGCGGUUGGGGAUGGACUCGCUGCUUAUCAGCUUGUUGGUGGGGUAGGGGCUGACCACGGCUUUGAAGGGUAGCCGGCCUGAGAGGUUGACCGGCCUCCUUGGGCCUGAGAUACGGCCCAGUCUCCUACCUGCCGCAGCAGUCGGGAAUCUUGCACAAUGGGCGGAAGCCUGAUGCAGCAACGCCGCGUUCGUGAUGCCGGCCUUCGGGUUGUAAACCGCUUUCGCCUGUGACGAAGCGUGCGUGACGGUAAUGGGUAAAGAAGCACCGGCUAACUACGUG
rnacentral:rRNA from 1 species